UACAGAGGUCUCAAGCGUUGUUCGGAUUCAUUGGGCGUAAAGGGUGCGUAGGCGGCGCGGUAAGUCGGAUGUGAAAUCUCGGAGCUUAACUCCGAAACUGCAUUCGAUACUGCCGUGCUUGAGGACUGGAGAGGAGACUGGAAUUUACGGUGUAGCGGUGAAAUGCGCAGAUAUCUGGGGGAAGGCCGGCGGCGAAGGCGCUUUUCUGGUUAGUACCUGACACUGAGGCACGAAAGCGUGGGGAGCAAACAGG
rnacentral:rRNA from 1 species